CGGGGGGGGGGUUGUUCUUUUGCUCCUUGGGUCCACACUGCGUUUAUGAGCUGUAAUAUUCACCGCAAAGGUCUGCAGCUUCACUACUAAGCCAACGAGACCACAAACCCACCAGGAGGAACGACAAUUCCAGACGCGUGGCUUUAACAGCUGUUAACACUCACCGCGAAGGUCUGUAGCUUCAUUUCUGAGUCAGCGAGACCACGAACCCACCAGAAAGAAGAAACUCCGAACACACCCGAACCUCAGAAGGAACAAAUUCCGGACACGCCGCCUUUAAGAACUGUAACACUCACCACAAGGGUCCGCGGCUUCAUUCUUGAAGUCAGUGAGACCAAGAACCCACUAAUUCCGGACACACUUUGACCAGCAGAGCAGGCAGAAGUAAAGCCACGGUUCACAGAAGUGCAGCCUCCCCCAACGCCAGUGCCCUGGGUCCAAGAGCAGAAUCUCAGUGUUCCUGCAGAAGUCACCAUGGAAGAAUAAUCGUGUUGUGAUUUUGAAAGGAAAUUGAAAUCCCCUCUUUACUGCUUUCUAAAUGAACCUUAUAAUUUUCUCCCUGUC
rnacentral:lncRNA from 1 species